rnacentral:lncRNA from 1 species
GGUAUGUUGAAAGAGAAGAAAGGUUCAAAAGGAACAACAACAAAAAAAACAUUAUCAUCAUCAUUCAGUCAAUCAUAGUAUGCGGAUGCAUAUUUCUUCCUGGCUGUAUGGUGAACCGUGGCUAGUUCAUGGAAUUCAGUUACAUUGGACUAUCCUGGUCUUGAACUUUUGCUUGAUGACAUGCUUCCAAGGAAGUCGCCUAUAAUUGUUGUUUUAUUGGUUAGUAAUUCUUUCUUUCUGGUUCCAGAUGCCAAAUUCCUGUCAAUAAACAUAUUUAAGGAAAACAUAAAUUGACAGCACUCAUCAGUUCCAAUCAUAUUUUGUGCAGUGGCCUCUGCAAAAGCAAGAUUAUCAGGAAUGACCAUCAUCAUUAGUCAUUCUUGUCGGUAAACAUAUUUAAAGAAAACACUUGAAAAAGCUGCUAAUUUCUCUAAACAAAUUCUAAACUGGUUGCAUAGACCCAGCGCUCCGGCAAAGCCGGGGCACCGCCCAAGCUAAAACAAACUAUUCCCUCCGUCCCUAAUUAAGUAAUGUGGAUUUGUAUAGAUUUUUAUACUAAUCCACGUCACUUAUUUUGGGACGGAGGGAGUAUUAUAAUUUACCAAUUGCAAGUAACAAAUAUUUGAUACAUAUCACAAAAAUAUUAGUGUUAAUGUUGACUUUGACAAAGAAAAUUCCACCACAAUCUCAAUUAGAUCGUAUUAGUAAUUGUACAUAAAUAAAUGCACAAUGCGGUAACAAAAGGCCACUAGCCAAUAAGCCUCUAUCAACGAGCAAGUCGACAACAAAAGUUCAAUGUCGAGCCGCACAUCAACAAUGCUACGAGAGAAUCUAGAAAAAAAUUAAAAUAGCAAUACAUUUUCAUUGCAAAUAUGAAGUAUCAAUACAGAGUACAUUGAAAUUGGAGUCGUGCCCGCGCUGCCAUUUGGAAUUAAAUCCCCGCCUGCCGCUCGCCUGAGCCCUGAGGUGCAGCCCGGCCUGAGCUACCUGCCAUCUACCCAUUGUCCUCACCGGAGGCCGGAGCCUGGAGGCCUUUGGAUUAGUUGGUGAAUCGGGAGGUUCAAUUUUGGGUUUGAUGGAUUGGGGUUUUUUGGGGAGGACCGGAGGAAGACUAAACCAGCAUGGAGGCGGAGAUGACCAGCAGCUAGCGAGGAGAUUGAUC